AAAUUGAAGAGUUUGAUCAUGGCUCAGAUUGAACGCUGGCGGCAGGCCUAACACAUGCAAGUCGAGCGGUAGCACAGGAGAGCUUGCUCUCUGGGUGACGAGCGGCGGACGGGUGAGUAAUGUCUGGGAAACUGCCUGAUGGAGGGGGAUAACUACUGGAAACGGUAGCUAAUACCGCAUAACCUCGCAAGAGCAAAGAGGGGGACCUUCGGGCCUCUCGCCAUCAGAUGUGCCCAGAUGGGAUUAGCUAGUAGGUGAGGUAAUGGCUCACCUAGGCGACGAUCCCUAGCUGGUCUGAGAGGAUGACCAGCCACACUGGAACUGAGACACGGUCCAGACUCCUACGGGAGGCAGCAGUGGGGAAUAUUGCACAAUGGGCGCAAGCCUGAUGCAGCCAUGCCGCGUGUGUGAAGAAGGCCUUCGGGUUGUAAAGCACUUUCAGCGGGGAGGAAGGCGGUAAGGUUAAUAACCUUAUCGAUUGACGUUACCCGCAGAAGAAGCACCGGCUAACUCCGUGCCAGCAGCCGCGGUAAUACGGAGGGUGCAAGCGUUAAUCGGAAUGACUGGGCGUAAAGCGCACGCAGGCGGUCUGUUAAGUUGGAUGUGAAAUCCCCGGGCUUAACCUGGGAACUGCAUUCAAAACUGACAGGCUAGAGUCUUGUAGAGGGGGGUAGAAUUCCAGGUGUAGCGGUGAAAUGCGUAGAGAUCUGGAGGAAUACCGGUGGCGAAGGCGGCCCCCUGGACAAAGACUGACGCUCAGGUGCGAAAGCGUGGGGAGCAAACAGGAUUAGAUACCCUGGUAGUCCACGCUGUAAACGAUGUCGACUUGGAGGUUGUGCCCUUGAGGCGUGGCUUCCGGAGCUAACGCGUUAAGUCGACCGCCUGGGGAGUACGGCCGCAAGGUUAAAACUCAAAUGAAUUGACGGGGGCCCGCACAAGCGGUGGAGCAUGUGGUUUAAUUCGAUGCAACGCGAAGAACCUUACCUACUCUUGACAUCCAGAGAAUUUGCUAGAGAUAGCUUAGUGCCUUCGGGAACUCUGAGACAGGUGCUGCAUGGCUGUCGUCAGCUCGUGUUGUGAAAUGUUGGGUUAAGUCCCGCAACGAGCGCAACCCUUAUCCUUUGUUGCCAGCGAUUCGGUCGGGAACUCAAAGGAGACUGCCGGUGAUAAACCGGAGGAAGGUGGGGAUGACGUCAAGUCAUCAUGGCCCUUACGAGUAGGGCUACACACGUGCUACAAUGGCGUAUACAAAGAGAAGCGACCUCGCGAGAGUAAGCGGACCUCAUAAAGUACGUCGUAGUCCGGAUUGGAGUCUGCAACUCGACUCCAUGAAGUCGGAAUCGCUAGUAAUCGUAGAUCAGAAUGCUACGGUGAAUACGUUCCCGGGCCUUGUACACACCGCCCGUCACACCAUGGGAGUGGGUUGCAAAAGAAGUAGGUAGCUUAACCUUCGGGAGGGCGCUUACCACUUUGUGAUUCAUGACUGGGGUGAAGUCGUAACAAGGUAACCGUAGGGGAACCUGCGGUUGGAUCACCUCCUUA
rnacentral:rRNA from 1 species